rnacentral:tRNA from 1 species
UAAGAAGUAGUACAAAGGAAGUACAGAGGGCUUUGAUCUCUCAGAUGUAGGUUCGAUUCCUAUCUUUUUAA